GAUGAACGCUGGCGGCGUGCUUAACACAUGCAAGUCGAACGGAAAGGCCCAAGCUUGCUGGGGUACUCGAGUGGCGAACGGGUGAGUAACACGUGGGUGACCUGCCCUGCACUUUGGGAUAAGCCUGGGAAACUGGGUCUAAUACCGGAUAGGACGACGGCUUGGAUGGCAUGGUGGGAAGAUUUUUCGGUGUGGGGUGUGCACGCGGCGCUUCAGCGUGUUGGUGGGGGAAGGGCGUAGCAAGGCGUCGACGGGGAUCCGGCCUGGGAGGGGGUACGGGCACACUGGGGCUCUGAGACGGGCCAGAGUCCUCCAGGGGGGACCAGGGGGGAAAAUUGCACAAUGGGGGCGCGCCUGGGGCAGCGACGCCGCGUGGGGGUUAAGGGCCUUUGUGGUGUAAAAUCCGUUCGCGAGUGACGAGGCGUUUUUGUGACGGUACCGGGAGAAGAAGCACCGGCUAACUACGUG
rnacentral:rRNA from 1 species